UGGGGAAUAUUGCACAAUGGGCGAAAGCCUGAUGCAGCAACGCCGCGUGAGUGAUGAAGGUCUUCGGAUUGUAAAGCUCUGUCUUUUGGGACGAUAAUGACGGUACCAAAGGAGGAAGCCACGGCUAACUACGUGCCAGCAGCCGCGGUAAUACGUAGGUGGCGAGCGUUGUCCGGAUUUACUGGGCGUAAAGGGUGCGUAGGCGGAUGUUUAAGUGAGAUGUGAAAUACCCGGGCUUAACUUGGGUGCUGCAUUUCAAACUGGAUAUCUAGAGUGCAGGAGAGGAGAAUGGAAUUCCUAGUGUAGCGGUGAAAUGCGUAGAGAUUAGGAAGAACACCAGUGGCGAAGGCGAUUCUCUGGACUGUAACUGACGCUGAGGCACGAAAGGCGUGGGUAGCAAACAGGAUUAGAUACCCUGGUAGUCCACGCCGUAAACGAUGAGUACUAGGUGUAGGAGGUAUCGACCCCUUCCGUGCCGCAGUAAACACAUUAAGUACUCCGCCUGGGAAGUACGAUCGCAAGAUUAAAACUCUAAAGUGAAUUGAC
rnacentral:rRNA from 1 species